rnacentral:rRNA from 2 species
UGCAAGUCGAGGGGAAACGAUAGAGAGAGCUUGCUCUUUCUAGGCGUCGACCGGCGCACGGGUGAGUAACGCGUAUCCAACCUGCCCAUCACUUGGGGAUAACCUUGCGAAAGUAAGACUAAUACCCAAUGACGUCUCUAGAAGACAUCUGAAGGAGAUUAAAGAUUUAUCGGUGAUGGAUGGGGAUGCGUCUGAUUAGCUUGUUGGCGGGGUAACGGCCCACCAAGGCGACGAUCAGUAGGGGUUCUGAGAGGAAGGUCCCCCACAUUGGAACUGAGACACGGUCCAAACUCCUACGGGAGGCAGCAGUGAGGAAUAUUGGUCAAUGGGCGAGAGCCUGAACCAGCCAAGUAGCGUGCAGGAUGACGGCCCUAUGGGUUGUAAACUGCUUUUAUAAGGGAAUAAAGUGGGAGUCGUGACUCCUUUUGCAUGUACCUUAUGAAUAAGGACCGGCUAAUUCCGUGCCAGCAGCCGCGGUAAUACGGAAGGUCCGGGCGUUAUCCGGAUUUAGUGGGUUUAAAGGGAGCGUAGGCCGGGGAUUAAGCGUGUUGUGAAAUGUAGACGCUCAACGUCUGCACUGCAGCGCGAACUGGUUUCCUUGAGUACGCACAAAGUGGGCGGAAUUCGUGGUGUAGCGGUGAAAUGCUUAGAUAUCACGAAGAACUCCGAUUGCGAAGGCAGCUCACUGGAGCGCAACUGACGCUGAAGCUCGAAAGUGCGGGUAUCGAACAGGAUUAGAUACCCUGGUAG